UACGAAGGGUGCAAGCGUUACUCGGAAUUACUGGGCGUAAAGGGUGCGUAGGUGGUCGUUUAAGUCCGUUGUGAAAUCCCUGGGCUCAACCUGGGAAUGGCAGUGGAUACUGGACGGCUAGAAUGCGGUAGAGGGUAGUGGAAUUCCCGGUGUAGCAGUGAAAUGCGUAGAGAUCGGGAGGAAUACCAGAGGCGAAGGCGGCUACCUGGACAAUUGCUGACGCUCAGGCACGAAAGCGUGGGGAGCAAAAGGG
rnacentral:rRNA from 1 species